CUCCUCGGUAGGCACAAGCGGAAUAUUGCCAAUGGCCAAAACGUAACCCAGCAACGCCGCGUAUUGGAAGAAGGUUUUCGGAUUGUAAACCUCUGUCCUUGGUGACGAAGGAAGUAACGGUAGCCAAGGAGGAAAAACCCCGGCUAACUACGUGCCAGCAGCCGCGGUAAUACGUAGGGGGCGAGCGUUGUCCGGAAUGACUGGGCGUAAAGGGCGUAUAGGCGGCGGAUUAAGUCUGGAGUGAAAGUCCUGCUUUCAAGGUGGGAAUUGCUUUGGAUACUGGUCGGCUUGAGUGCGGAAGAGGUAAGUGGAAUUCCCAGUGUAGCGGCUGAAAUGCGUAGAGAUUGGGAGGAACACCAGUGGCGAAGGCGACUUACUGGGCCGUAACUGACGCUGAGGCGCGAAAGCGUGGGGAGCGAACAGGAUUAGAUACCCUGGUAGUCCACGCGGUAAACGAUGAAUGCUAGGUGUAGGGGGUAUCGACCCCUCCUGUGCCGGAGUAAACACAAUAAGCAUUCCGCCUGGGGAGUACGGCCGCAAGGUUGAAACUCAAAGGAAUUGACGGGGGCCCGCACAAGCAGCGGAGCAUGUUGUUUAAUUCGAUGCAACGCGAAGAACCUUACCAGGUCUUGACAUUGAAGUAAGCCCGUAGAGAUACGGGGAGCUUCGGGCAACGGAAAACAGGUGGUGCAUGGUUGUCGUCAGCUCGUGUCGUGAGAUGUUGGGUUAAGUCCCGCAACGAGCGCAACCCUUAUGAUCAGUUACUAACGGGUAAAGCCGAGGACUCUGAUGAGACUGCCGGGGACAACUCGGAGGAAGGUGGGGACGACGUCAAAUCAUCAUGCCCCUUAUGACCUGGGCUACAAACGUGCUACAAUGGCGGCUACAAAGAGGAGCGAGCAUGCAAAUGUAAGCGGAUCUCAAAAAAGCCGUCCCAGUUCGGAUUGUGGGCUGCAACCCGCCCACAUGAAGUUGGAGUUGCUAGUAAUCGCGAAUCAGCAUGUCGCGGUGAAUACGUUCCCGGGCCUUGUACACACCGC
rnacentral:rRNA from 1 species